ACCUUCGGGCCUCUUGCCAUCAGAUGUGCCCAGAUGGGAUUAGCUUGUUGGUGAGGUAACGGCUCACCAAGGCGACGAUCCCUAGCUGGUCUGAGAGGAUGACCAGCCACACUGGAACUGAGACACGGUCCAGACUCCUACGGGAGGCAGCAGUGGGGAAUAUUGCACAAUGGGCGCAAGCCUGAUGCAGCCAUGCCGCGUGUAUGAAGAAGGCCUUCGGGUUGUAAAGUACUUUCAGCGGGGAGGAAGGUGUUGUGGUUAAUAACCGCAGCAAUUGACGUUACCCGCAGAAGAAGCACCGGCUAACUCCGUGCCAGCAGCCGCGGUAAUACGGAGGGUGCAAGCGUUAAUCGGAAUUACUGGGCGUAAAGCGCACGCAGGCGGUCUGUCAAGUCGGAUGUGAAAUCCCCGGGCUCAACCUGGGAACUGCAUUCGAAACUGGCAGGCUUGAGUCUUGUAGAGGGGGGUAGAAUUCCAGGUGUAGCGGUGAAAUGCGUAGAGAUCUGGAGGAAUACCGGUGGCGAAGGCGGCCCCCUGGACAAAGACUGACGCUCAGGUGCGAAAGCGUGGGGAGCAAACAGGAUUAGAUACCCUGGUAGUCCACGCCGUAAACGAUGUCUACUUGGAGGUUGUGCCCUUGAGGCGUGGCUUCCGGAGCUAACGCGUUAAGUAGACCGCCUGGGGAGUACGGCCGCAAGGUUAAAACUCAAAUGAAUUGACGGGGGCCCGCACAAGCGGUGGAGCAUGUGGUUUAAUUCGAUGCAACGCGAAGAACCUUACCUGGUCUUGACAUCCACGGAAGUUUUCAGAGAUGAGAAUGUGCCUUCGGGAACCGUGAGACAGGUGCUGCAUGGCUGUCGUCAGCUCGUGUUGUGAAAUGUUGGGUUAAGUCCCGCAACGAGCGCAACCCUUAUCCUUUGUUGC
rnacentral:rRNA from 1 species